rnacentral:rRNA from 1 species
UGGGGAAUAUUGGACAAUGGGCGCAAGCCUGAUCCAGCAAUGCCGCGUGGGUGAAGAAGGUCUUCGGAUCGUAAAGCCCUUUCGACAGGGACGAUGAUGACGGUACCUGUAGAAGAAGCCCCGGCUAACUUCGUGCCAGCAGCCGCGGUAAUACGAAGGGGGCUAGCGUUGCUCGGAAUUACUGGGCGUAAAGGGCGCGUAGGCGGCUUAGUCAGUCAGGCGUGAAAUUCCUGGGCUUAACCUGGGGGCUGCGCUUGAUACGGCUAGGCUUGAGGGUAGGAGAGGGUCGUGGAAUUCCCAGUGUAGAGGUGAAAUUCGUAGAUAUUGGGAAGAACACCGGUGGCGAAGGCGGCGACCUGGCCUAUUACUGACGCUGAGGCGCGACAGCGUGGGGAGCAAACA